CAUAAGCGAUGGGGUGACGCAGGAGGGUAGCUCAGCCCAGGCGAUGGUUGUUCCUGGGGUAAGCAUGUAGCCCGCAUCAUAGGUAAAUCCGUGGUGCGUUAAGGGUGAGAUGUGAUGCCGAGCCAUUGUGGUGAAGUGAGUGAUCCCAUGCUGCCGAGAAAAGCCUCUAGCGAUGUGUGACGGCGGCCCGUACCCCAAACCGACUCAGGUGGUCAGGUAGAGAAUACUAAGGCGAUCGGGUGAACUGUGGUUAAGGAACUCGGCAAAUUGCCCCCGUAACUUCGGGAGAAGGGGGGCCAUGUCCGGUGAACGUCUUUACGGCGGGAGCUGGGGGUGGCCGCAGAUACCAGGGGGAAGCGACUGUUUACUAAAAACACAGGUCCGUGCGAAGUCGUAAGACGCUGUAUACGGACUGACGCCUGCCCGGUGCCGGAACGUUAAGAGGACCGGUCAACCUUUCGGGGUGAAGCUGAGAAUCUAAGCGCCGGUAAACGGCGGUGGUAACUAUAACCAUCCUAAGGUAGCGAAAUUCCUUGUCGGGUAAGUUCCGACCUGCACGAAUGGCGUAACGACUUCCCCACUGUCUCAACCACAGACCCGGCGAAAUUGCAGUACGAGUAAAGAUGCUCGUUUCGCGCAGCAGGGCGGAAAGACCCCGGGACCUUCACUACAGCUUGGCAUUGGCGUUUGGAGCGUCUUGUGUAGGAUAGGUGGGAGACUGUGAAACUCACACGCCAGUGUGGGUGGAGUCAUUGGUGAAAUACCACUCUGGUCGUUUCGAGCGUCUAACCCGCACCCGUGAAUCCGGGUGGGGGACAGUGCCUGGUGGGUAGUUUAACUGGGGCGGUUGCCUCCUAAAAGGUAACGGAGGCGCCCAAAGGUUCCCUCAGCCUGGUUGGUAAUCAGGUGGCGAGUGCAAGGGCACAAGGGAGCUUGACUGUGAGACGGACGUGUCGAGCAGAUGCGAAAGCAGGGCCUAGUGAUCCGGCGGUGGCAUGUGGAAGCGCCGUCGCUCAACGGCUAAAAGGUACCCCGGGGAUAACAGGCUGAUCUUCCCCAAGAGUCAUAUCGACGGGAUGGUUUGGCACCUCGAUGUCGGCUCGUCGCAUCCUGGGGCUGGAGUAGGUCCCAAGGGUUGGGCUGUUCGCCCAUUAAAGCGGCACGCGAGCUGGGUUUAGAACGUCGCGAGACAGUUCGGUCCCUAUCCGCUGCGCGCGCAGGAGAUUUGAGAGGGUCUGUCCCUAGUACGAGAGGACCGGGACGGACGAACCUCUGGUGUGCCAGUUGUCAUGCCAAUGGCACGGCUGGUUGGCUACGUUCGGACGAGAUAACCGCUGAAAGCAUCUAAGCGGGAAGCCUUCCUCAAGAUGAGAUCUCCCACCCCUUCGUGGGUGUAAGGCCCCCAGCUAGACCACUGGGUUGAUAGGCCAGAAAUGGAAGCACCGCAAGGUGUGGAGUUGACUGGUACUAAUAGGCCGAGCGGCU
rnacentral:rRNA from 1 species